GGAUGAACAACAAGCAGCCUGGAGAGCAGAGCUGGACUGAACCAGCACUCACCUGGCUGUUGGGUUUGGCGCUGAAGCACUUCCCCAGUCGUGCCCUCGACACAGCUCCGUGUAGGACGAGUACUCUACGUACACGAUCCAGCUCCCCACAAACACCGCCAGCCACGAGAAGAACAGGUACUUCAUGUGCAGGUCUUCAGCAUUAACAGUUAUAGCCAAACAGGAGCACCUGAUCUGCAGUACAGGCCACGCCCCCGUCACACCUGGUGGUGAUUCAGCAUGAAGGUGAGCAGAAACUAUCAGGAGGCCUUCAACACAUUAAAACACUCAAAAAACAUAAAAAACAGUGAGCAGAGCUGCAGCUAAUCAAAAUAUUACAAACCACAAUUAUACACAUAAAUAAACCAGAUUUCUGUUAAAAAUGUUUGUUUUUUCUCACUGAGGUCCAUGAGCUGACAGACGGCGAAUCCCUCUGAAAACAUCCAG